AACGAACGCUGGCGGCAGGCUUAACACAUGCAAGUCGAACGGAUCCUUCGGGAUUAGUGGCAGACGGGUGAGUAACGCGUGGGAACGUACCCUUUGCUACGGAAUAACUCAGGGAAACUUGAGCUAAUACCGUAUGUGCCCUACGGGGGAAAGAUUUAUCGGCAAAGGAUCGGCCCGCGUUGGAUUAGCUAGUUGGUGGGGUAAUGGCCUACCAAGGCGACGAUCCAUAGCUGGUCUGAGAGGAUGAUCAGCCACACUGGGACUGAGACACGGCCCAGACUCCUACGGGAGGCAGCAGUGGGGAAUAUUGGACAAUGGGCGCAAGCCUGAUCCAGCCAUGCCGCGUGAGUGAUGAAGGUCUUAGGAUUGUAAAGCUCUUUCACCGGUGAAGAUAAUGACGGUAGCCGGAGAAGAAGCCCCGGCUAACUUCGUGCCAGCAGCCGCGGUAAU
rnacentral:rRNA from 1 species